rnacentral:rRNA from 1 species
AGAGUUUGAUCCUGGCUCAGGAUGAACGCUAGCUACAGGCUUAACACAUGCAAGUCGAGGGGCAGCAUCAUCAAAGCUUGCUUUGAUGGAUGGCGACCGGCGCACGGGUGAGUAACACGUAUCCAACCUGCCGACAACACUGGGAUAGCCUUUCGAAAGAAAGAUUAAUACCGGAUGGCAUAAUUAUUCCGCAUGGGAUAAUUAUUAAAGAAUUUCGGUUGUCGAUGGGGAUGCGUUCCAUUAGGCAGUUGGCGGGGUAACGGCCCACCAAACCAACGAUGGAUAGGGGUUCUGAGAGGAAGGUCCCCCACAUUGGAACUGAGACACGGUCCAAACUCCUACGGGAGGCAGCAGUGAGGAAUAUUGGUCAAUGGACGAGAGUCUGAACCAGCCAAGUAGCGUGAAGGAUGACUGCCCUAUGGGUUGUAAACUUCUUUUAUACGGGAAUAAAGUGAGCCACGUGUGGCUUUUUGUAUGUACCGUAUGAAUAAGGAUCGGCUAACUCCGUGCCAGCAGCCGCGGUAAUACGGAGGAUCCGAGCGUUAUCCGGAUUUAUUGGGUUUAAAGGGAGCGUAGGCGGGUUGUUAAGUCAGUUGUGAAAGUUUGCGGCUCAACCGUAAAAUUGCAGUUGAUACUGGCGACCUUGAGUGCAACAGAGGUAGGCGGAAUUCGUGGUGUAGCGGUGAAAUGCUUAGAUAUCACGAAGAACUCCGAUUGCGAAGGCAGCUUACUGGAUUGUAACUGACGCUGAUGCUCGAAAGUGUGGGUAUCAAACAGGAUUAGAUACCCUGGUAGUCCACACAGUAAACGAUGAAUACUCGCUGUUGGCGAUAUACGGUCAGCGGCCAAGCGAAAGCAUUAAGUAUUCCACCUGGGGAGUACGCCGGCAACGGUGAAACUCAAAGGAAUUGACGGGGGCCCGCACAAGCGGAGGAACAUGUGGUUUAAUUCGAUGAUACGCG